UUAAAUCUGACAUGUUUUUUUACGUAUUUUAUUAGUCUUCUUAAAAAAGUAAUUUAUAUUAUGCAAAAAUCCUAAAGAAAUCUACUGCUCUGAUCUGUUACUAACGAGUUAUUAAUUUUUAUUUUGUUAAUGAUAUACAAUUAUUAAAUAGUCAGCUCAAGUAUGCAAGGAAAAUGACCAGUCGAAGUAAAUCAAGCGAAGACUCCGUUGACGAGAAUAUGCACGCCUCACGGAAACAGCUAGUAACAAAUAAGUGGAGAGCACGCUCGAAUCUUAGUGUACAUUGAUUUUGGGACUAAAUUAAGAUGUAUUUUGAAUUUCGAACUCCAAAGGGGAAAGAACCGAUAAAUAGAGUUGAAGAAUUUCUAUACUACAUGCGUAGUUGGACAUACCCAUUGAUGUAAGACAACUAGAAGCGAUUUAUUAACUCUUUGCAAGGAUGACAACGACGACGCAUUACGAAAGUAGAUGAUUAUUUUAACUGUCGUUUUAUAAUAUCGUAUAUCACUGUAGUACAAAGUUUGCGACAUCGCAAAAUCUAGAAUGAGCAAUGUUACGAAAGGAAAGAGAUUGUGUCUGGAAGUGCAGGUUUCACUCAUUGUAACAUCCGACCUCCUAAAGGCCAGACUUACAAUGAGACCUAAAAAUAGACUUACAAUAAACCUAAACGCUCCAAUGAUUUCAUAUCUAAAACAAAUCAAUAUUGAAAAGUACUUCGGGACAAAAGAUUUAAAAUACAUUAUAAGUGCAGGUUUUCGCAGCGUAAA